rfam:Capsicum annuum cultivar Zunla-1 chromosome 3, whole genome shotgun sequence
AUACAUUGGAUGGAUGCCCGGGCAUUGAGAAGGAAGGACGCUUUCAGAGGCGAAAGGCCAUGAGAAGAUACCGUCUAUGAUCCAUAGAUCUCUAAUCAGGAAACCGUAUCCAAGAUCCGUGGCUAGUCUGCGCUCUUUGGACUUUUCAAACUUAGAGAACUGAAACAUCUUAGUAGCUAAAGAAAGGGAAAUCAACCGAGACCCCGUGAGUAGCAGCGAGCGGGAGCGGAUUAGGGGUUUAAAGAAAAACAAAUACAAAGCUUUGUUCCUCUCCUUUUAGGCGAGCUACUUCAUUCCUCAGCAAAGUGUUCACUUCUUUUUCGCCGGGUUUCAUUCGAUUUGUUGUGGAUUGGGUGAUGGAAAAACCAGCAAGCUACGGCUUCAAAACUUACCUUAUUUAGAAAAGGAGAAAGGGCUAUUUUUAUAGAUAUUGAGGUUGAGUAAGGGGGGUGAAGCUUGAAGAGCAAAGCAAGCCGCGCUAGCCUAGCAAUAUUUUUCAGCAGCAAGCUAUGGUCUAACGAUCCCUUAACGUAGGUUGGGGCAAAAACUCCAAAAUCCAAAAUGUUGGUUAGGGUUCCUCUCCUUUUAGGCGAGCUACUUCAUUCUAAACCUUUCUCUAAUAAUAAGGUAAGCUUUCAAGCCGCCGCCCUUUAAAGGAGCGGGCGUAGUGAACUGUAAUUGUGAAAAGAUUGGAAGAUCUAGCCAAAGAAGGUGAUAGCCCUGUAGAUUCGUUCCCAUGGUUCGAUCUUUCCCAGUAAAAUGUGGCUUGUUCGAAUUCUGAUUGUUUUUAUGCGAGAAAGGGGGACCACCCUCUAAUCCUAAGUAUUCCUCAAUGACUGAUAGCGUACAAGUACCAUGAGGGAAAGGUGAAAAGAACACUAUUUAGGGAGUGCAAUAGAGAACCUGAGAUCCGAUGCGACAAUCAGUCGAAGUAGCAGAGCUUAGAGCCUUUACUUUAUGUAAAGCACACUCACUCUAAUGGCGUACCUUUUUCAUGAUGGGUCAGCGAGAAAAUGGGAACAGCGGCUUAAGCCAUUAGGUGUAGGCAUUUUCCAAAGGUGGAAUCUUCUAGUUCUUCCUAUUUGACCCGAAACCGAUCGAUUUAGCCAUGAGCAGGUUGAAGAGAGUUCUAACAGGCCUUGGAGGAUAGAACCCACGUAUGUGGAAAAAUACGGGGAUGACUUAUGGCUAGGGGUAAAAGGACAACCAAGAUCGGAUAUAGCUGGUUUUCUGCGAAAUCUAUUUUAGUAGAGCAUAUGAUGUCGAUGGCCCGAGGUAGAGCACUAAAUGGGCUAGGGUGGACUCAUUUUGCCUUACCAACCCCAGGGAAACUCCGAAUACAGGCCUAGAUUAUUUGUAUAGACAGACUUUUUGGGUACUAAGAUCCAAAGUAGAGAGGGAAAUAUCCCAGAUCGUACACUAAGGUCCAUAAGCAAUCACUUAGUAGAAAAGGAAGUGAUCGAGCGAUGACAACCAGGAGGUGGGCUUGGAAGCAGCCAUCCUUUAAAGAAAGUGUAAUAGCUCACUGGUCUAGCUCCAUAGCACCGAAAAUGUAUCAGGGCUCAAGUGAUUCACCGAAGCGACAAGACCUUGAAAGCUGCUUUUUCAAGUGUCAGUAGCAGAACGUUCUGUCAAUCGGGGAAGGUUUUUGGUGACAAGACCUGGAGAUAUCAAAAGUGAGAAUGCUAACAUGAGUAAUGAAAAAUCCUGUAAAAAACAUGAUCGCCUGCCAGUGGAAGGUUUUCUGCGUUCAGUCAAUCUACGCAGAGUGAAUCGGUCCCUAAGAAACCCCCGAAAGGGCCUAGUCCAAUGGGUACACGAAAGUGAUAAAGUUUCUUUUACUAUAGAACCAUGCCUGUCUGUUAGAGCGAAUUGGAUGUUCGAGCUGAGGGCUUCCUCCUCUUCCCUUCACUCUCUUUUCCCUAAUAUAAACCUUGAGUCAUCAAAGCCUUUCUGACUCGGCCUGGCUCGGUCUCCCUACGUGACUGGCGCUUCAAAAGGCGAAACUCUCAAUCGUAGUUUGGCAACCUAUCUUCAGUAGGGGACUUUAGUCUUUUGAUUAGAGUAGGGGUCGCGAGAGAGCAGAGCGUACUGCCCUGCCAUAGUCACGAGUCUGUUUAUCGUCGCGACUAUUGUCAUAGUUAACAAGGUUGAAACUUUCAGGAAAAAACUUGGAAUUGGGAGGAGAUCCUCCCGAUGAACUGACCAUACCCCAAACCGACACAGGUGAACAAUUAGAGUAUACUAGGGCGCUUGAGAGAACCAUGUUGAAGGAACUUGGCAAAAUGACCCCGUAACUUCAGGAGAAGGGGUGCUCUCCUAUCUUUUAAUUAGGAAAACGGAACAUACCAGGGGGUAGCGACUGUUUAUUAAAAAAUGGGACUCUGCUAAGUGGUAACACGAUGUAUAGAGUCUAAAACCUGCCCGAUGCUGGAAGGUCAGAAGGAGAAGUGUUAUAAGUUUUGAAUGGAAGCCCCGGUAAACGGCGGCAGUAACUCUAACUGUCCUAAGGUAGCAAAAUUCCUUGUCAUAUAAGUAGUGACCUGCACGAAUGGUGUAACGACUGCCCCGCGGUCUUCAACAUGGACUUGGUGAAAUUA